rnacentral:rRNA from 1 species
CCUACGGGGGGCUGCAGUGGGGAAUUUUGGACAAUGGGGGCAACCCUGAUCCAGCCAUUCCGCGUGAGUGAAGAAGGCCUUCGGGUUGUAAAGCUCUUUUGUCCGGAGCGAAACGGGCGGCCCUAAUACGGUCGUCUACUGACGGUACCGGAAGAAUAAGCACCGGCUAACUACGUGCCAGCAGCCGCGGUAAUACGUAGGGUGCGUGCGUUAAUCGGAAUUUGUGGGGGCGGUGCUGUCGCCCAGGGGUGAAAUCCCCGGGCUCAACCUGGGAAUGGCAUUUGGGACUGCAAGGCUGGAGUGUGGCAGAGGGGACUAGAAUUCCUGGUGUAGCAGUGAAAUGCGUAGAUAUCAGGAGGAAUACCGAUGGCGAAGGCAGGUCCCUGGGUUAACACUGACGCUCAUGCACGAAAGCGUGGGGAGCAAACAGGAUUAGAUACCCUAGUAGUC